rnacentral:rRNA from 1 species
UACAGAGGUCUCAAGCGUUGUUCGGAUUCAUUGGGCGUAAAGGGUGCGUAGGUGGCGCCGUAAGUCAGGUGUGAAAUUUCGGAGCUUAACUCCGAAACUGCAUUUGAUACUGCGGUGCUUUGAGGACUGGAGAGGAGACUGGAAUUUACGGUGUAGCGGUGAAAUGCGUAGAUAUCGAGAGGAACACCUGCGGCGAAGGCGGGUUGCUGGGCUGAUACUGACGCUGAUGCGCGAAAGCCCAGGGGAGCGAACGGG